rnacentral:rRNA from 1 species
UUGGCUCAGGAUGAACGCUGGCGGCAGGCUUAACACAUGCAAGUCGAGGGGCAGCGCGGGAGUAGCAAUACUUCUGGCGGCGACCGGCGCAAGGGUGCGUAACGCGUGAGCAACAUACCCGUCACAGGGGGAUAAGCGAUGGAAACGUCGUCUAAUACCGCAUAAAACUUAGGGCGGCAUCGUCCGGAGUUGAAACUUACGAGGGUGACGGAUUGGCUCGCGAGACAUUAGGUAGACGGCGGGGUAACGGCCCACCGUGCCGACGAUGUCUAGGGGUUCUGAGAGGAAGGUCCCCCACACUGGGACUGAGACACGGUCCAGACUCCUACGGGAGGCAGCAGUGGGGAAUA